GCAGUUGAUACUGGAUAUCUUGAGUGCAGUUGAGGCAGGCGGAAUUCGUGGUGUAGCGGUGAAAUGCUUAGAUAUCACGAAGAACUCCGAUUGCGAAGGCAGCCUGCUAAGCUGCAACUGACAUUGAGGCUCGAAAGUGUGGGUAUCAAACAGGAUUAGAUACUCUGGUAGUCCACACGGUAAACGAUGAAUACUCGUUGUUUGCGAUAUACGGCAAGCGGCCAAGCGAAAGCGUUAAGUAUUCCACCUGGGGAGUACGCCGGCAUCGGUGAAACUCAAAGGAAUUGACGGGGGCCCGCACAAGCGGAGGAACAUGUGGUUUAAUUCGAUGAUACGCGAGGAACCUUACCCGGGCUUAAAUUGCAGAUGAAUUACGGUGAAAGCCGUAAGCCGCAAGGCAUCUGUGAAGGUGCUGCAUGGUUGUCGUCAGCUCGUGCCGUGAGGUGUCGGCUUAAGUGCCAUAACGAGCGCAACCCUUGUUGUCAGUUACUAACAGGUUAUGUUGAGGACUCUGACAAGACUGCCAUCGUAAGAUGUGAGGAAGGUGGGGAUGACGUCAAAUCAGCACGGCCCUUACGUCCGGGGCUUCACACGUGUUACAAUGGGGGGUACAGAGGGCCGAUACCACGCGAGUGGAUGCCAAUCCCAAAAACCUCUCUCAGUUCGGACUGGAGUCUGCAACCCGACUCCACGAAGCUGGAUUCGAUAGUAAUCGCGCAUCAGCCACGGCGCGGUGAAUACGUUCCCGGGCCUUGUACACUCCGCCCGUCAAGCCAUGGGAGCCGGGGGUACCUGAAGUGCGUAACCGCGAGGAGCGCCCUAGGG
rnacentral:rRNA from 1 species